AUAGAAUUUCAAGCCGCCGACGGCUAAAAAAUGUUAUUAUUCCUUUCUUGCAUUUUGCCUGGCGAAUGAAAAUUUGACUCAAAAUUUUGAAAUAGUUGGAAAAUUCAAAUUGUUCAGUUCGUCAGUAGCUUUGUGGUACGAGCAAGAAAGGGCGGUGGUCUGUUUAUUGUAAGACAUCAAGGCCAUUAUUCAAACAAAUUGAAA